CCUACGUGCGGCCGCAGUGAGGAAUAUUGGUCAAUGGACGAGAGUCUGAACCAGCCCAGUAGCGUGAAGGAUGACUGCCCUAUGGGUUGUAAACUUCUUUUAUAUGGGAAUAAAACGUUCCACGUGUGGGAUUUUGUAUGUACCAUAUGAAUAAGGAUCGGCUAACUCCGUGCCAGCAGCCGCGGUAAUACGGAGGAUCCGAGCGUUAUCCGGCUUUAUUGGGUUUAAAGGGAGCGUAUGUGGCUUGUUAAGUCAGUUGUGAAAGUGUGCGGCUCAACCAUAAAAUUGCAUUUGAACUUGGCAGUCUUGAGUACAGUAGAGGUGGGCGGAAUGCGUGGUGUAGCGGUGAAAUGCUUAGAUAUCACGAAGAACUCCGAUUGCGAAGGCAGUUCACUGGACUGCAACUGACACUGAGGCUCGAAAGUGUGGGUAUCAAACAGGAUUAGAUACCCCAGUAGUC
rnacentral:rRNA from 1 species